rnacentral:rRNA from 1 species
GGGGAAUAUUGCACAAUGGGCGAAAGCCUGAUGCAGCGACGCCGCGUGAGGGAUGACGGCCUUCGGGUUGUAAACCUCUUUCAGCAGGGAAGAAGCGAAAAUGACGGUACCUGACUAAGAAGCCCCGGCUAACUACGUGCCAGCAGCCGCGGUAAUACGUAGGGGGCAAGCGUUAUCCGGAUUUACUGGGUGUAAAGGGAGCGUAGACGGCACUGCAAGUCUGGAGUGAAAGCCCGGGGCUCAACCCCGGGACUGCUUUGGAAACUGUGGUGCUAGAGUGCAGGAGAGGUAAGUGGAAUUCCUAGUGUAGCGGUGAAAUGCGUAGAUAUUAGGAGGAACACCAGUGGCGAAGGCGGCUUACUGGACUGUAACUGACGUUGAGGCUCGAAAGCGUGGGGAGCAAACA